rnacentral:rRNA from 1 species
UUUAUUAGGUUUAUAGGGUACCUAGACCGAAAGCCAAGCCUUAAUCGGGACUAGUUUUCUAGAGUUUUAUGUGAGAAAGUUGAAUGAUCAGAGUAGAGUCAAAAUUCGCUAAUACUGAUAAGACGGAUAACGGCGAAGGCUGCUUUCUAUGUAAAAAACUGACGUUGAGGUACGAAGCCCAGGGUAGCAAGAAGGAUUAGAUACCCUAGUAGUCCUGGGAGAAAAUUAUGAGUGCCAUAGAUUAGAUAUAUGAUUAAUUUAUAAAUGAAAGUGUAAGCAUUCCACCUCAUGAGUAAAGCGGCAACGCCCAAAUUGAAAUCAUUAGACCGUUUCUGAAACCAGUAGUGAAGUAUGUUAUUUAAUUCGAUAAUCCGCGAAAAACCUUACCACACUUUGAAUAAUAUUCAAUUUUUACAAGCGCUGCACGGCUGUCUACAGUUGAUAUCGUGAGAUUUUGGUUAAUUCCUUUAAUUAACGAAAACCCUUGUUUUAUUUUUUCAAAUAAAGCUGUUCUCCGUCUAGAUGGGAUAUGCUAAAAGGGAGCAAGACAAGUCAUUAUGGCCUUAUAGGG